UACGUAGGGGGCAAGCGUUGUCCGGAUUUAUUGGGCGUAAAGAGCUCGUAGGCGGCCAGGUAAGUCCGCUGUGAAAUCUCGAGGCUCAACUUCGAGCUGUCGGUGGAAACUGUCUGGCUAGAGUCCGGAAGAGGAGAAUGGAAUUCCUGGUGUAGCGGUGAAAUGCGCAGAUAUCAGGAAGAACACCCGUGGCGAAGGCGGUUCUCUGGGUCGGAACUGACGCUGAGACGCGAAAGCGUGGGGAGCGAACAGG
rnacentral:rRNA from 1 species